ensembl:snRNA U6 U6 spliceosomal RNA
AUAAGCACUUGAUUUGAUAGCAUGUAUACUUGGUAUAAUACAGAAAAGAGUAACAUGGCCCCUGCGCAAGAAUGAAAAGUAAAGUUAUGAAAUUCAUAUUUUU